UUUUUUUUUUUUUUUAAUUUUUUUUUUUAACUCUCCACAGAAAACUAAUCAGGUGGCACCUUCCCAUGUGGAAAUUUCCUUGCAGAUACAUUAAUCUACAAAUUAUUUUUACCCUGUAUGCCCCUGAUAACAAUUGCAUUAAUAUAAGGAGAUAAACUCAUUUCUUUGGUUGCUGCUCAUAGAGCAGCUUGCUAGUUAAGAUAAAAACAAAUUAUGGGAUAUAAAAGACAUAUCUGAUUGUACAGUAAUACACUGUGUGCCAAGCAGUCGGUGAGGUAAGGUUUACAUAACUGCUACAUGUUCCUUGAACUUUUGAGAUAUAUUUCCAUGUCAUUUUUUUUCCUCUCAGGAGCCAAAACAGGGGCAGAACACAGAACAAGCAAUUAAGAGAAAUGUAAUUGUUUUGAUUGAAGUAAUUUGAGAUUACAGGUUGCAAGAGGGGUAAACAAUCUAGAAAGUGUUUUGAAGUCUUCGUCAUGUAGAUGCUUUCCUUUGGGGAAACUGUCCUUCCCUUCAGUGUGGGAGGACUCCCCUUAGGUGCAGAUUUGUAGAAGAAAAUUUUGACUCCAGUCAUAUGCUGCAAUAUUCUUUGACUGCUAUUAAUUCACUUAAUGACCCAGUCUGUUGUUCAGUGAAAUUGCUGUGUGCUCUCCUAGCGACGGUGAAAAAUAGCUUUUUCUGGGGACUGAUCCAAGCCCAGCUCCAGCUGGCUCUUCUAGAGGGAAAGGUUCCCUCUGCGCUUCUGAAAUGAACAUUUUUCCUCAGAAGAUCAGGAGGCAGCCAGGCCCCUGCACCAUCGUGUGAGGCUGGACUGUGGGGCCUCCCAUCGGCAUAACAAUAACUUGCCUCCACUUGUGUGUCCCCCACCUUGCCCUCCCUGGGCAUGAGCCUGCAAAGAAAUUUUCUUGGAAAACACAGAGAAAACAGAGCAAACCAGCCCCAGCCAUUUUCAUAACUCUAUGUAUAUAUAUAUAUGUAUGUAUGUAUAUCUCCUUCCAGUUCCCUUCCUCCUUCCUGCUGCCCAGUGACAGCAUAUUCACACAACAAAAACAGUGGCUUCUAAAAUAAUUUUCCCUGAAAAUUGUAGACUGCAGAGGUCUUUAUUACCAAUAACAUUAGAGGAAAAUGGAAAUGAGGCAUUGCACAGCUCUGGCCUGUUUAUGGCUCCUUUUCUUCAUUUUUCAUUUAAAUGAUGUACACAGAACAUUUAUUUGUUUAGAGGAAAGAUUGUGGAUUACUGGUGCAGCAUUCUGAUAGAUAUUUUAACAUAUUCAAGGAAAAGAAAAUUCAGUCUCACAAAUAGGCAUCUUGGAUUUCUUUUUUAUUUCUUACCAAAUUAAUUGCAGGCAGUUUAACACCCACUCUGUGCAAGUGUCUUCCUCUUUUUUUCUUUUUUUUUGACAAUUGAGCAAUUUUCUCACAUGUGCCAGUUUGUUAAAAUUUCUUUCUUUAUCUGUUUUCUUAUGAAUGGUUUCUGAAUUGACAAGACUUUGCCUUUUUGAUGGUGCACAGAGUCUGUUUGCACCAGCCUUAGUUAAAGUUAUCAGGAGUGAUCCAGCCACAGAAUGAAUUUCCUCCACCUUACCUUAUUUUACAGCUUGAAUUAGACCCUUGGAAUUCUCAAUUAUCACAUACUCAACAGCCAAGGAGUUUUGGGAAAUGCUUUUAAUCUUUAUAAUAUUUAAUAAAGUAAUCAUGUGCAUAUCAUUGAGGUGUUAAAAAUGCCAAUUCAUAAUCCAUCCCACCACUUCAAAGUAUCAUAUCAAAUAUAUUUUUCUAUUAGUUGUGGAAGCAAAUAUGCCAGUGCAUAGCCAGGACUAGCUAUGUAGUCUAUAAUGACAUCUAAUACUAAACAGAUAUUCUUCAAAUAUUUCAUUAAAUAGUUUGACCUAAUUCAUCCUGGCUAAUCAGACUUAGUUUAGUUCAAUCCUGCUGUUAAGCUUUCUUCAAAAUUCUCAUUAGCAUCAAUGGAAAUUCUAGAAAGAGCAGAUAAAUCAGUCUCUCAUUAUAGGACAGAUAAAUAACACUUUGGGUUUAUAUUUCUAGCUAAUAUAUGUAAUCAAAUUAUUUAAAAUAUAAACACUCAAAGCCUGUUCUGUGCCCUCAGGGAACCCUUUUAUCCCACUGCAGCAAAGCUGCAUAUAGCAGGAUAUAUUCCACUAAUACAGUCAAAAAUAUAUGGAUGUAUAAGAAUAAACAGCUUAAAAAAAAAAUCAUACUGUAAAUGAUGUGAUUGAGUGAAACUGUAUGUAUAUUUUUAAGUCUUCAGAAUAGUUGAAGUUUUAACUUAUUUCAAAAUUUUAAGUUGAAAUCUAUUCAUAUUUGGAAAUUUUGUACAACCUUGUAAAGUUAAAUACUAUGUCACUGUAAUUUAUUUUUGUUGUCAUAUAUUGACACAUGCUCAUUUAUAUAUGAAGUGUACUGUUUAUCAAUUGCUUCUAAGGCAGCAAUAAAAACAUGAAAGUUGUUCUCAU
rnacentral:lncRNA from 1 species